AACCCCGGGAAACUGGGGAUAAUUCCGGAUAACGCAUAUAUGCUGGAAUGCUUUAUGCGUAAAACGGAUUCGUCUGCCCAAGGAUGGGUCUGCGGCCUAUCAGGUAGUAGUGGGUGUAAUGUACCUACUAGCCUACAACGGGUACGGGUUGUGAGAGCAAGAGCCCGGAGAUGAUUCUGAGACAUGAAUCCAGGCCCUACGGGGCGCAGCAGGCGCGAAAACUUUACAAUGCGGGAAACCGUGAUAAGGGGACACCGAGUGCUAGCAUCAUAUGCUGGCUGUCCAGGUGUGUAAAAUACACUUGUUAGCAAAGGCCCGGCCAAGACCGGUGCCAGCCGCCGCGGUAACACCGGCGGCCCGAGUGGUGAUCGUGAUUAUUGGGUCUAAAGGGUCCGUAGCCGGUUUGGUCAGUCCUCCGGGAAAUCUGAUAGCUCAACUAUUAGGCUUUCGGGGGAUACUGCCAGACUUGGAACCGGGAGAGGUAAGAGGUACUACAGGGGUAGGAGUGAAAUCUUGUAAUCCCUGUGGGACCACCUGUGGCGAAGGCGUCUUACCAGAACGGGUUCGACGGUGAGGGACGAAAGCUGGGGGCACGAACCGGAUUAGAUACCCGGGUAGUCCCAGCCGUAAACGAUGCUCGCUAGGUGUCAGGCAUGGCGCGACCGUGUCUGGUGCCGCAGGGAAGCCGUGAAGCGAGCCACCUGGGAAGUACGGCCGCAAGGCUGAAACUUAA
rnacentral:rRNA from 1 species